GCUAGCGAGCGAUAUUGGUGAGGUUCAAUCCGAAGACGGAUUUACAAAUGUACGUGGUAAAGGGCGAUCUCAGAUUGAGCCGCGCCAAUAUCACUUUGUAUCAU
rnacentral:pre_miRNA from 1 species